rnacentral:tRNA from 1 species
GGGUUUGUGGCUCAGUGGUAGUAUGCUUGCCUAGUAUAUAUGAGGUCCUAGGUUCAAUCCCCAAGACCA